GCAUAUCAAUAAGCGGAGGAAAAGAAACUAACAAGGAUUCCCCUAGUAACGGCGAGUGAAGCGGGAAGAGCUCAAAUUUGAAAUCUGGUGGCCUCAGGUCAUCCGAGUUGUAAUCUAUAGAAGUGUUUUCCGUGCUGGCUCAUGUACAAGUCCCUUGGAACAGGGCGUCAUAGAGAGUGAGAAUCCCGUCCUUGACAUGAACUACCAGUGCUCUGUGAUACAUUUUCAACGAGUCGAGUUGUUUGGGAAUGCAGCUCAAAAUGGGUGGUAAAUUCCAUCUAAAGCUAAAUAUUGGCGAGAGACCGAUAGCGAACAAGUACCGUGAGGGAAAGAUGAAAAGCACUUUGGAAAGAGAGUUAAACAGUAUGUGAAAUUGUUGAAAGGGAAACGAUUGAAGUCAGUCGUGCUCUUUGGAUUCAGCCGGUUCUGCCGGUGUACUUCCUUUGAGUGGGGUCAACAUCAGUUUUGAUCGCUGGAUAAAGGCUGGAGGAACGUAGUACCCUCGGGUAAACUUAUAGCCUCCUGUCACAUACAGUGGUUGGGACUGAGGUACGCAGCACGCCUUUAUGGCCGGGAUUCGUCCACGUACGUGCUUAGGAUGUUGACAUAAUGGCUUUAAACGACCCGUCUUGAAACACGGACC
rnacentral:rRNA from 1 species